rnacentral:rRNA from 1 species
AUUGAAGUUGCUUAUGACUGAGUGGCGGACGGGUGAGUAACGCGUGGGUAACCUGCCUCAUACAGGGGGAUAACAGUUGGAAACGACUGCUAAUACCGCAUAAGCGCACAGGAUCACAUGAUCUGGUGUGAAAAACUCCGGUGGUAUGGGAUGGACCCGCGUCUGAUUAGCCAGUUGGCAGGGUAACGGCCUACCAAAGCGACGAUCAGUAGCCGACCUGAGAGGGUGACCGGCCACAUUGGGACUGAGACACGGCCCAGACUCC